rnacentral:lncRNA from 1 species
GCCUUACCAGAAAUUUUUAAAAAAAGAAAAUGAUGUUGUUUCACAUGUUUUUUGGGCUUUGGGACAGGUUUAGAUUAGGAUGUAGUGACCUAGGUCAACUUUUGAAACAUCAGAACCAUUUUAGCACCAUAGACCUCUUGAAUAUAGGAAUCACUCCUAAACCACCAUCUUGGCCUUUACUAUCAUUUUAAAAUUGUCCUAAGUAGUUUAUCUUAGCAGUCAGCU